GGAGUAGAAGAACCUCGGAAAUUUGGCCUUAGAAAACCCCAAGGGGUGGAGUUGCAGGGGUAGAAGAACCUCAGAAUUUUGGCCUUAGAAAACCCCAAGGGGUGGAGUUGCAUGGGUAGAAGAACCUCGGAAAUUUGGCCUUAGAAAACCCCAAGGGGUGGAGUUGCAGGGGUAGAAGAACCUCAGAAUUUUGGCCUUAGAAAACCCCAAGGGGUUAG